AAAUGAAUUGACGGGGGCCCGCACAAGCGGUGGAGCAUGUGGCUUAAUUCGAGGCAACGCGAAGAACCUUACCUGGGUUUGACAUGUAUCGGCCCGUCUGUGAAAGCAGACUUUCUCUCACGAGACUGAUACACAGGUGCUGCAUGGCUGUCGUCAGCUCGUGCCGUGAGGUGUUCGGUUAAGUCCGGCAACGAGCGCAACCCGCGUCGUCAGUUGCUACCAGGUAAUGCUGGGCACUCUGGCGAGACUGCCCGUGUCAAGCGGGAGGAAGGCGCGGAUGACGUCAAGUCCGUAUGGCCUUUAUAUCCAGGGCUGCACACGUGCUACAAUGAACGGUACAAUGGGACGCAAGGCCGCGAGGCGGAGCAAAUCCUCAAAACCGUUCCCAGUUCGGAUUGGAGUCUGCAAUUCGACUCCAUGAAGUCGGAAUCGCUAGUAAAGGCGUAUCAGCUACGACGCCUUGAAUACGUUCCCGGGCCUUGUACACACCGCCCGU
rnacentral:rRNA from 1 species